GAGGAAUAUUGGUCAAUGGGGGCAACCCUGAACCAGCCAAGUCGCGUGAAGGAUGAAGGUCUUAUGGAUUGUAAACUUCUUUUAUACAGGAAUAAAUUGGGGGACGUGUCCCCUUUUGCAUGUACUGUAUGAAUAAGGAUCGGCUAACUCCGUGCCAGCAGCCGCGGUAAUACGGAGGAUCCGAGCGUUAUCCGGAUUUAUUGGGUUUAAAGGGUGCGCAGGCGGGAUGUUAAGUCGGCGGUGAAAUUUUGCAGCUCAACUGUAGAAGUGCCUUCGGUACUGGCUUCCUUGAGUUGAGAUGAAGUAGGCGGAAUUUGUGGUUUAGCGGUGCAAUGCUUCGAUAUCACGAGGAACUCCGAUUGCGCAGGCAGCUUACUAAACUACAACUGACGCUCAUGCACGAAGGCGUGGGGAUCAAACA
rnacentral:rRNA from 1 species